AUGAAGUUCAAUAGAGGUCGCCGCCACAGCCGUGAUUCGAAGAAAGAAGCUUGUUAUGGGGAGGAAAGGCUAAGCGAGCUGCCAAGUGAUGUUGUGGUCAAAGUCCUUGAGACGGUGAAAACACAGUCGAAGAAAGCAGCUGGUCAUGGGGAGGAAAGGCUACGCAAGCUGCCCAAUGAUGUGCUGGUCAACAACAUCCUGGAGACAGUGGAAACACAGUCUACCAAAACAGCUGGUAAUGCGGAGGACAGGCUAAGCAAGCUGCCCAAUGAUUUGCUGCUCAACAUCCUCGAGAGGGUGGGUACCCUUGAUGCUGUAAGAACCUGCAUCCUUUCGAAGAAAAUGCAGAAGCUGCCCACUAUGCUCUCGCAGAUCGUAAUUGAUCUUAGCCCUCGUGAUUUGGUUCAAAUGGAUGGUGUUGUGGCUGACGUGACGGACAAGAUCCUUAGUACGAGGUCUCCACAGAUCACCGUUCGCAAGCUGAAGCUCAAAUUUUUCUUGGUUCCCUCUCGCUGUCUCUCCAUCGGAAAAUCGGUCGGCCUUGCCAUGGCGACCCAGAAGUUGGAUGCAGCUGAGUUUGAGAUCAUGCCACUGAGGGAUAAUGGAUGUUGCACUGAUGCCCAUCGCCUGCUCUUUGCUCAGCAGUUCAAUGAUUUUGUUCGUGAUUGCCCGGAUGCAUUUGCUGGUCUCACGCGGCUGGAUCUACGGUUUUUGAGGUUUGGAGAAUCGGACAUACCCAACAUUCUUAGCACCUGCAAGCAGCUCGAGUCCCUUUCUUUCUUCGAGUGUGACGGGGGGUUCGCUCGGUGCUGCAUGUAG
rnacentral:rRNA from 1 species